ACACAAGAGAGGAGGUGGUCCGAGAAAUUGAGUGACAUACGGACAAGUGAGGUGGCUGCUAGCUAGCAGCACCAGGAGUGUGACGGAGCUCUUGGCCGUUCGCACAUGCGCUCAUCGUGCAGUCCUGCGAGCGCUGGCGAAUCCCAGGCAGCCACCCGGCCCCCGAGCCCUUGGUUGGUCCAACCAAGACGAACGGCUCGGGGGCUGCUCCAU
rnacentral:sRNA from 1 species